AACGAACGCUGGCGGCAUGCCUAACACAUGCAAGUCGAACGAGACCUUCGUGUCUAGUUGCGCACGGGUGCGUAACGCGUGGGAACCUUCCCUUAGGUUCGGAAUAACUCCCCGACAGGGGUGCUAAUACCGGAUAAUGUCUUCUGACCAAAGAUUUAUCGCCUUUGUAUGGGCCGGAGUUGUAUUAGCUAGUUGGUAGGGUAAAAGCCUACCAAGGCGACGAUCCAUAGCUGGUCUGAGAGGAUGAUCAGCCACACUGGGACUGAGACACGGCCCAGAAUCCUACGGGAGGCAGGAGUGGGGAAUAUUGGACAAUGGGCGGAAUCAUGAUGCACCAAUGCCGCGUGAGUGAUGAAGGUGGUAGAGAUGAACAGCUCUUUUACACGCGAUGAUAAUGACAGUACCGGGAGAAUAAGCACCGGCUAACUCCGUG
rnacentral:rRNA from 1 species